AGGAACACAAGGAGAGCAGGGAGUCCACUCUGACCACUCACUGAGUGACACUGAGCAGGUGGCGCUGCAGGAGGCCCAGCUGGACCAGGAGCUCCAUGAGCAGCUGCUGUCCCCUGCACAGUUCCACCCCCCGUUUUUAGGGGGAGGGCUGGAGCAGGAGCGCGUCCGGAUUGAGCGGCCACCCCCACAUGCCUUAUCACAGCGUGACCAUGGACUCCAGCGAGACCAACUCCCAUCCACUGAAAAAGGAGCAGCCCAAAGUUUUAAGUCUUUCAUUUAGAAAAAGCAGUCUAGCUGAAUUCUGUCUAUCCCUGUUUUUUAUGCUGCACACCUUUUUUAUAUUUACUUGAAGAGCUCAGAUGCACUCAGUGUGUGUAAGUCCUGUGAGUAUAACUCUCUUUAUAAUUCAGUAAAGUUAAAAACUAAAGUUGUAUAGUUUAUUACCAUAACUCUCAACCUUUAUGAAAAAAUGUGUACCAUUUUACAAAAGUGAGAAAAAACUGCAUCUGGUUGUAAAUCUUUGAUACAGAAGGGGAAAGGAGUACUUAAGCUAUUUGAUUCCUUCUUUUAUUAAAGCAAAGGUUUGCCAUAAAUGAUAUUUACACAAUCAGCUAAGAUGCUUUUGUUUUUUUAAUUCUUCUUUAGUACUGCACUGGAGCUACCAGAGUAACAUGAUACAAGCGUUUAUACUAAUAGA